AUUGAACGCUGGCGGCAUGCUUUACACAUGCAAGUCGAACGGCAGCGCGGGCUUCGGCCUGGCGGCGAGUGGCGCACGGGUGCGUAAUGCAUCGGAACGUGCCCAGUAGUAGGGGAUAGGCCGGCGGAAGCCGGAUUAAUACCGCAUACGACAUGCGGGUGAACGCGGGGGACCGAAAGGCCUCGCGCUGUUGGAGGAGCCGAGGUCGGAUUAGCUAGUUGGUGGGGUAAAGGCUUACCAAGGCGACGAUCCGUACCUGGGCUGAGAGGACGACCAGCACACUGGGACUGAGACACGGCCCAGACUCCUAUGGGACGCAGCAGUGGGGAAUUUUGGACAAUGGGGGCAAGCCUGAUCCAGCCAUGCCGCGUGCGGGAAGAAGGCCUUCGGGUUGUAAACCGCUUUUGUUCGGGAAGAAAUACUCUGCGCUAAUACCCCGGGGGGAUGACGGUACCGGAAGAAUAAGCACCGGCUAACUACGUG
rnacentral:rRNA from 1 species